AGAAACGGUUCUGGCUAAUACCUGGAGCUAAUGACGGUACCUGAAGAAUAAGCACCGGCUAACUACGUGCCAGCAGCCGCGGUAAUACGUAGGGUGCAAGCGUUAAUCGGAAUUACUGGGCGUAAAGCGUGCGCAGGCGGUUGUGCAAGACCGAUGUGAAAUCCCCGGGCUCAACCUGGGAAUGGCAUUGGUGACUGCACGGCUAGAGUGUGUCAGAGGGGGGUAGAAUUCCACGUGUAGCAGUGAAAUGCGUAGAGAUGUGGAGGAAUACCGAUGGCGAAGGCAGCCCCCUGGGAUAACACUGACGCUCAUGCACGAAAGCGUGGGGAGCAAACAGGAUUAGAUACCCUGGUAGUCCACGCCCUAAACGAUGUCAACUAGUUGUCGGGUCUUAAUUGACUUGGUAACGCAGCUAACGCGUGAAGUUGACCGCCUGGGGAGUACGGUCGCAAGAUUAAAACUCAAAGGAAUUGACGGGGACCCGCACAAGCGGUGGAUGAUGUGGAUUAAUUCGAUGCAACGCGAAAAACCUUACCUACCCUUGACAUGGCAGGAACCCUCGAGAGAUCGAGGGGUGCUCGAAAGAGAACCUGCACACAGGUGCUGCAUGGCUGUCGUCA
rnacentral:rRNA from 1 species